UCCGGCAUAGCUCAGUUGGUAGUAGCGCAUGACUGUUAAUCAUGAUGUCGUAGGUUCGAGUCCUACUGUCGGAG
rnacentral:tRNA from 4 species